GACGAACGCUGGCGGCGUGCUUUACACAUGCAAGUCGAACGGUGAAGGUGGAGCUUGCUCCGCCGGAUCAGUGGCGAACGGGUGAGUAACACGUGGGAAACCUGCCCCUAACUUUGGGAUAACUACUCGAAAGAGUAGCUAAUACCGGAUAUGAAGUCUGUAGGCAUCUACGGACUUGGAAAGUUUUUCGGUUAGGGAUGGGCCCGCGGCCUAUCAGCUUGUUGGUGAGGUAGUGGCUCACCAAGGCGACGACGGGUAGCCGGCCUGAGAGGGCGACCGGCCACACUGGGACUGAGACACGGCCCAGACUCCUACGGGAGGCAGCAGUGGGGAAUAUUGCGCAAUGGGCGAAAGCCUGACGCAGCAACGCCGCGUGCGGGAUGAAGGCCUUCGGGUUGUAAACCGCUUUCAGCAGGGAAGAAGCGAAAGUGACGGUACCUGCAGAAGAAGCACCGGCUAACUACGUGCCAGCAGCAGCCGCCG
rnacentral:rRNA from 1 species